GAUGAAGAACGUAGCGAAAUGCGAUACUUGGUGUGAAUUGCAGAAUCCCGUGAACCAUCGAGUCUUUGAACGCAAGUUGCGCCCGAAGCCAUUAGGCCGAGGGCACGCCUGCCUGGGCGUCACACGUCGUUGCCCCCCCAUCUACUCCUUCGGGAUUGCGGGGGGCGGAUGAUGGCCUCCCGUGCGCCUCGCCGCGCGGUUGGCAUAAAUGCCAAGUCCUCGGCGACGCACGCCACGACAAUCGGUGGUUGCGAAACCUCGGUUGCCCGUCGUGUGCGGUCGUCGCGCAUCGAGGGCUCGAAAAAAUUGCCGGGUUCCGGCUCGGCUUUCAACGCGACCCCAGGUCAGGCGGGGUUACCCGCUGAAUUUAAGCAUAUCAUAAGCGGAGGA
rnacentral:misc_RNA from 1 species